rnacentral:rRNA from 1 species
AGAUUGAACGCUGGCGGCAGGCCUAACACAUGCAAGUCGAGCGGCAGCACGGGUGCUUGUACCUGGUGGCGAGCGGCGGACGGGUGAGUAAUGCCUAGGAAUCUGCCUGGUGGUGGGGGAUAACGCUCGGAAACGGACGCUAAUACCGCAUACGUCCUACGGGAGAAAGCAGGGGACCUUCGGGCCUUGCGCUAUCAGAUGAGCCUAGGUCGGAUUAGCUAGUUGGUGAGGUAAUGGCUCACCAAGGCGACGAUCCGUAACUGGUCUGAGAGGAUGAUCAGUCACACUGGAACUGAGACACGGUCCAGACUCCGUACGGGAGCAGCAGGUGGGAAUAGUUGGGAACUAAGUGGGACAAAGCCUAGAUCCAGCCAUGCCGCGUGUGUAGAAGAGGUCUUACGGAUUAGUAUAGACUAACGUUUAAGUGGGAAG